rnacentral:rRNA from 1 species
AUUGAACGCUGGCGGCAGGCCUAACACAUGCAAGUCGAGCGGAUGAGAAGAGCUUGCUCUUCGAUUCAGCGGCGGACGGGUGAGUAAUGCCUAGGAAUCUGCCUGGUAGUGGGGGACAACGUCUCGAAAGGGACGCUACUACCGCAUACGUCCUACGGGAGAAAGCAGGGGACCUUCGGGCCUUGCGCUAUCAGACGAGCCUAGGUCGGAUUAGCUUGUUGGUGAGGUAAUGGCUCACCAAGGCGACGAUCCGUAACUGGUCUGAGAGGAUGAUCAGUCACGCUGGAACUGGGACACGGUCCAGGCUCCUACGGGAGGCAGCAGUGGGGAAUAUUGGACAAUGGGCGAAAGCCUGAUCCAGCCAUGCCGCGUGUGUGAAGAAGGUCUUCGGAUUGUAAAGCACUUUAAGUUGGGAGGAAGGGCAGUCAGCGAAUACCUGGUUGUUUUGACGUUACCGACAGAAUAAGCACCGGCUAACUCUGUGCCAGCCGCCGCAGUAAGAC